GCCUAUGGCAAUAGCACCCUGAGUGUGCCUGAUCGCAUCUGAUCUUGAAAGCUAAGCAGAGUCUGGUCUGAUUAAUACUUGGAUGGGAGACCAAAUAGCAACUUCCUUGUCUAAGGAA
rnacentral:rRNA from 1 species